GGCAGCGUGAUGUAGUGGUUUGAGUAUUGGACUACGACCCUGAAGACCAGGGUUCGAUUCCCCACUCAGCCA